GUUUUCGUGGCCUAGUGGUUAGGGCGUCUGUCUUACAUUGAACUAAGACUUUGGUCUAGUAUCUGAUGAUCACAGAAGAUCCCCGGUUCAAUCCCGGGCGGAAACA